CCUGCUAAGUGUUUUAACAGGAGGCUUUUAUAUAUUUACUCUCGAUCAGAAAAGCCGCUUUGCCAGAAUGGAGAAGAACCUCAGAAGAUGUGGAGAAUAAUUAAAUAGUAAAAUAUGUCUCUUCUGCUGUGAUGCUCCGGUCCUUCAUACCAAGAAUUCACAGCAUCCACUACCUGUCGAUUCCUAGUGGUCUGUUCUCAGUGCCCACUGGCCUCUGAGGCCAGAACUUUGGCAUGUGGAUGUCCCCGUGGGAUUCAGCUGUGCGCCUGGUGUCUUUCCUCUGAAUCAGAGUUUAAAAAUUGUUUUAAAUAAA